GCCUUCGUGGUGUAGUGAUCAGCACGCUCGACGCGUUAUCGAGAGUUCAGUGGUUCGAUUCCCGGCGAAGGCG
rnacentral:tRNA from 1 species